UACGGAGGGGGCGAGCGUUAUUCGGAAUUAUUGGGCGUAAAGGGCGCGUAGGCGGCCUUGCAAGUCAAAGGUGAAAUCCCUCGGCUCAACUGAGGAACUGCCUUUGAAACUGCAUGGCUUGAGGCCGGGAGGGGGUAGCGGAAUUCCCAGUGUAGCGGUGAAAUGCGUAGAUAUUGGGAGGAACACCAGUGGCGAAGGCGGCUACCUGGACCGGAUCUGACGCUGAUGCGCGAAAGCGUGGGUAGCAAACAGG
rnacentral:rRNA from 1 species